ensembl:lncRNA
CCACAUCCACACAAAAUAACAAAGAUUGAGUCAUUACAAUCCUGCACCUUAGAAAGUUUAUCAAAUCCGGACAAAUAUUUGGGAACUAGGAAUACAGUGGUUAAAAAUCUGUUCCAGAAGAUGCAUCGGAAGAAGCAAGCUACGAGACGAGACUUACCAUUUUUGAGCAGUCCAUCAUAUGGAGUGGUGGCUGAAAUGUAAAUGUAAAUUUUAUUCUAGUUCUCACCUGAAAGACUCAUUUGUCUGCAUAUCUUCUUUCUAGAGCUAAUAGAUGAGACAUUGGUCAGAUCAGAUGUAUAUUAAAACAAACCAGAGAAGCUGUUGAGUUGCCUUAAUUAGAAUAGCGGAAACUAUGUUUUUUUCAACUGCGAGUCCAACAAGAGGAUUAUAUAUUCCCACUCUCAUUCAUCAUUUACACUUUUCCCAAUGUGACAACCUGUCAGCACUGUCACUUCAGUAAUUUCCCAUAUUAUUAUUAUUAUUAUUAUUUUAGUUUUGAUAAUCCCCACACCCUCUUGUUCUAUAAAACUAGAUGAUAUAACCCUGUUUAUUUGGACCAUCAUCCAAACUGCUAAAUGGCAUGCUUUUUCUCACUAGCUGUUAUCAUAUUGAACUGACUUUGUUUAAAUGUUUGAAACUUCAGUUUUGAUGACUCAGUUAUACUUCAAAAAAGUAUUUCUGGUUUUUUUUUUUUUUUUGCUCCAGUGGCUCAGAAAAUCAAAAUUUUGACACAAACAACUAUACAUGAACUUUUAUUUUACAGCUAAUGUCGGCAUGGCUCAUGCUUCACAGGAAGCAAUUGGUUUUCUAGUUAGUCCUCGUCUAAAGCAGUGACUCUCAAUGAGUUGUAAGCAACGGUUAGGGUGACAUCACUCUUAAACCCCUUGGGUGGCAAAAGGUCACCCACCGAAGCCCUAACACGGGACUCCAGAUUUACAGCACCUUCAGUACAGCCAUUCCAACAUAGCGUGCACAGAACACAACUCCAGACAGAAUGUAAAUCAGCAGUUAUUUUUAGGGAAGACCUCAUUAAAUGAUUGGCAGCGGAGAGGUUACUGGAAGGUGGGAAAAGUUUGCUACAUAGACACUGCGUCAAGGAGGCUAAAUCAAAAGCUGUCCCAUAAGGAGCCUGUCUGUCGACUGUGAACUCUUUUGGUCUUUAGGCAGAAUCUUGCAAACAUGGUGUCUUCUCUGUUGACUUGACCCUACCGCCAUUGGUGCACUCAUGACGUAUUCAAUUAAUGGCAAUAGAUCCUGUGCUAUGACGUGAAUAAAUAUUUUUAAAAGGUGAAAGAUCA